rfam:Lepisosteus oculatus linkage group LG20, whole genome shotgun sequence.
UCCAGCAGCCAUAUUACUCUGCAGCUCACAACUGGCAGCCCAAUAAAGCUCAGCAGGUUUUAAUCUAGCCAGUACCUGGAUGGGAGACCUCCUGGGGAAAAACUAAGGUUGCUGCUGGAA